GAAAGAUUUCAUUGGACUUUUCUACUGUUUAUUAAAGGUGAAAAAGGAUAAGAGUUUCCAUGUCUUGAAAAAAAAUAACAAUCCAUCAUCAGUACUCCAAACUAAAAUAGAAGAAGAAAAAACAGAAAAAUGCAUGAAAUACAGACAUCUCAUUCCCAAUGGGAGAAUGAAGUUCAUUCAUUAUUUUAUAUCCUACUUCUGCCUCUUAUAAAUCUUUCCCAAGAAUGAUAGCAGCACUGCCUGUACUGCUUUGCUUGGAUGAGCUGCAAUAGAAGUGGUCAAUUUUUCAUAGGACGUCUUCUCGUAUUCCAGAAAUACUUCCUCAAGUUUGAGAUCAUUAUAGAGUGCCUUUAUUUUAGCAAUACAAGCAGCGUUAUCUUUUCCAUAGUUCUCAAAUAAUAUCUUCUUUUGCUCCUCGUUGCAUAGUUCUAGAGCUUUAACUACCAACCAAGAGCACUUAAAGUCCUGAAUAUCAGUGCCAAUCUUGCCCAGCACCUCUGGGUCAGCAAAGCAGUCCAGAUAAUCAUCCUGAACUUGAAAGUAGAUUCCCAUGUCAAUAAGAAUUUUCUUGACAUCAACAUGCUUGUCAAGAUUCUCUCCUACCAUAAGAAGUGCACAUGCCACUGGGAGGUAAAAUGAAUAAUAGGCAGUUUUAUACUGGACAAUCCGGCGAUGAAUAGACAAUGAGUACUUUGAUAAAUCUUUCUCUCCUACAAGUGUUGUGAUCAAAUCUAUCAUUUGUCCAGAGGCAGUCUGGAACUCUACCUCGUUAAACAAAUCUAGAAGAUCAACAUAAUAAGACUCUGGCCUGAAGUACUUCUUCAGAAUUCUGGUGAUGUGGUUGCGAAGAAGAAUGCCAUCAUUAAUAGCAAUCAUCCCAACCUUUUCUAAGUUGUACCAGCAUGGUUGACCUCGACGUGUAUGAGAUCCAUCCAUUAUAUCAUCAAGAACAAGGAAGUAUGCUUGAAGCCAUUCAAUGCACCAGCCAAGAGCAGAUGCUUUAAAGAUUUCAUCAGCGGUUAAUUCUUUUCCAUCUUUCAACAAACUAAGGCUGUCAAUAACAGAUAGUCCUCGGUUCAGCUUCCCUCCAGGUACAUUGUAGUCCAGCAUCUUGUCGACCCAUUUACGAGAAUCAUCUGUAAAUUCAAAAGCUGUGUCUUCUAACAGAUCAGAUUUAAGAACAGAGUACACAUCCAAAAAUUUCUUCUUCAGAUCAGCCAUUUUUGACAGAGAAAAAAAAAAGUUUAUGUAUAUAUAAACAGAGAAGGAAGAGAUCUGAG
rnacentral:misc_RNA from 1 species